GAUGAAGAACGUAGCGAAAUGCGAUAAGUAAUGUGAAUUGCAGAAUUCAGUGAAUCAUCGAAUCUUUGAACGCACAUUGCGCCCCCUGGCAUUCCGGGGGGCAUGCCUGUUCGAGCGUCUCCAGGACGAAUCCUCGCGCGAGUGAACGCGCGGUCGUGGCGGAGGUGGCGUGCCCGAGCAGGGCGGCCACCGCGCUGGAAUCCAUGGGCGGACGCCUGCCGCGUGGCCGAGCGUGAUAUGACGCAUUGGCGCUCGCGCGCGGCGAGGCUGCCAGCCCUGGCCCGUCUGUCGGGCGGGGUAGAUCAACACGUGGGAACUCCUCGAAUCAGGUAGGGAUACCCGCUGAACUUAAGCAUAUCAAUAAGCGGAGGA
rnacentral:misc_RNA from 1 species